CCCGCCUCCGCUGCGCGCCCACUCACAGGCCAAGGUCCGCUCCUGGUGCACCAGGCGCACGAGGCCGUGGAACUCUAGCAGAUGAGGACACAGAAGCACAGAACAGUGAACUGAGCUGCUCAAAGACAUCCAGCUGGUAAAAGGCAGAGCUGGGACUCAAACCCAGAUAUGGAAACUGAGUCCCCAAAAGGGAAAAUGACUUGCCCAAGAUCACACAGAGAGAGUGGAUAAACAAGUAACAAGACCAAGAGUUUCUGACGACCAGUCAAAGUCUUGUUCCACUGAACACAGAGUCCAAGGACAUUGGCCUCAGAUACUGAUGUCAUCUGAGCUCCCUCCAAACUCUAUUCACCCACAGGGAAGACUUGAACACCCUAUGAUUCCAAGUAUUCUCCAAUUGACAUCUUCCCCUUCUAACAAAAUUGCAAGCACUUCAAGGGAAAGGCCUAUGACUUGAUUAUUUUGGAAUCUUAGUUAUAUGCUCAGCACUGUGCCUCAGACUUUUGAGGGUAGGAACUAUUGCCUAUAACGCCUUGGAUGACUAGGGGCAGAUGCUCAGUAAAUGGAACCAACUGCUCUGCCUUUAAAAAAGGAAGAGUUGGGGAGGCAGGGAAGAGAAUUAAUAUGUAUCAAGAACUUAAUAUAUACCAGUCAUUGUGCUGAGCAUUUUCACUUUCUCAUUUAAUUCCCAGAAUUCCUUUAUGGCAUCAUCAAUUUCUGUAUUUUACAAUAGGAAAUUGAGGCUCAGAGAGGUAGGCAACUUACUCUGAGUCUCUUCACAAGUAAAGGCUCAAGUGUGACAUUUCACUGGUGGGUCAUAACCUUCUAGAAUCCAAUAUUAUAAACACAGAGUGAGAGAAAGAAGAGUUCUGGCACUUUCCAGAGGGUAAAACAAGUUUUUUAUUCUCAUUAGAGAACUAUGAAAUUAGUCACAUGAAUUGUGAAAACCUGUCAUGGUUUUAUUUGUUCAGUGACAGUGUGGAAAAUGACAUCAAGCUAGAAAAAGAAUAUAAAGGAAAAUCGUGAGUGUUUCAGUCUUGCUCAUAAAGAGAGACCUAUCGUUACCAAAUCCAGGCAACCUGAACCCACCCUUCCUGCAAAAGUUUUAUCUACACUAGAAUUUUGAAUGGGGGACAAAAAAAAUAAGCUAUAGGUUUUAUAAUAUGGAGAAGGUGAGUUUCAUAACAGGGCAAGGCCCAGGUCUGAAAAAUAUUCAGUCCCUCUGCUAGACUGGAAAUAGCCCCCUAAAGUCCAGGUCCUAAUCUCUGGAAACUGUAAAUGUUUCUCUAUUUGGAAAAGAGGUGUUUCUUUCUUUCUUUUUUUUUUUUUUUCCAGACGUGAUUAAGUUAAAAAUCUUGGAAUGGGAGUUUUAUCCUGUAUUAUCGGGGGAUGGGGGGGUGCUAAAUGCAAUUAUAAAUGUCCUUAUAGGCUGGGCGCGGUGGCUCAAGCCUGUAAUCCCAGCACUUUGGGAGGCCGAGACGGGCGGAUCACGGGGUCAGGAGAUCGAGAC